rnacentral:rRNA from 1 species
UAGUAACGGCGAGUGAAGCGGCAACAGCUCAAAUUUGAAAUCUGGCUCUUUCAGGGUCCGAGUUGUAAUUUGCAGAGGGCGCUUUGGCAUUGGCAGCGGUCCAAGUUCUUUGGAACAGGACGUCACAGAGGGUGAGAAUCCCGUACGUGGUCGCUAGCCUUUGCCGUGUAAAGCCCCUUCGACGAGUCGAGUUGUUUGGGAAUGCAGCUCUAAAUGGGAGGUAAAUUUCUUCUAAAGCUAAAUACUGGCCAGAGACCGAUAGCGCACAAGUAGAGUGAUCGAAAGAUGAAAAGCACUUUGGAAAGAGAGUCAAAUAGCACGUGAAAUUGUUGAAAGGGAAGCGCUUGCAGCCAGACUUGCCUGUAGUUGCUUAUCUGGACUUUUGUCCGGUGCACUCUUCUGCGGGCAGGCCAGCAUCAGUUUGGGCGGUUGGAUAAAGGUCUCUGUCAUGUACCUCUCUUCGGGGAGGCCUUAUAGGGGAGACGACAUGCAACCAGCCUGGACUGAGGUCCGCGCAUUUGCUAGGAUGCUGGCGUAAUGGCUGUAAGCGGCCCGUCUUGAAACACGGACCAAGGAGUCUAACAUCUAUGCGAGUGUUUGGGUGUCAAGCCCAGACGCGUAAUGAAAGUGAACGGAGGUGGGAACCCUUUGGGUGCACCAUCGACCGAUCCUGAUGUCUUCGGAUGGAUUUGAGUAAGAGCAUGGCUGUUGGGACCCGAAAGAUGGUGAACUAUGCUUGAAUAGGGUGAAGCCAGAGGAAACUCUGGUGGAGGCUCGCAGCGGUUCUGACGUGCAAAUCGAUCGUCAAAUUUGGGCAUAGGG